UAAAUUAUAAGGUUUGCCUUCUGUGUUU
rnacentral:tRNA from 1 species